rnacentral:siRNA from 1 species
GUGAAGUCCACUGCCACAUUUGUU